UCCUGGCCCUAAACGAUGUCCACUAGGUCGAAGGUUCUCUGACGGAGUUUCGGCCGAAACAAAAGCGUUAAGUGGACCGCCUGGGGAGUACGGUCGCAAGGCUAAAACUCAAAGGAAUUGACGGGGGCUCACACAAGCGGUGGAGCAUGUUGCUUAAUUCGAUGCAACGCGAAGAACCUUAUCCUGGGCUUGACAUGCAGGAAUACCUCCCUGGAAACAGGGUUGGUUGCCCUUCGGGGUGAAAUCUGCACAGGUGCUGCAUGGCUGUCGUCAGCUCGUGUCGUGAGAUGUUGGGUUAAGUCCCGUAAGAGCGAAACCCUUGUCGUUAGUUGCCAGCGCGUUAUGGCGG
rnacentral:rRNA from 1 species